AAGUCUUGACAUCGCACGCAUAUCUAAGAGAUUAGAGAAAUCCUUCGGGACGUGUAGACAGGUGGUGCAUGGUUGUCGUCAGCUCGUGUCGUGAGAUGUUGGGUUAAGUCCCGCAACGAGCGCAACCCUUAUCAUUAGUUGCUACGCAAGAGCACUCUAAAGAGACUGCCGUUGACAAAACGGAGGAAGGUGGGGAUGACGUCAAAUCAUCAUGCCCUUUAUGACUUGGGCUACACACGUACUACAAUGGCGUUUAACAAAGUGAAGCGAUACUGCGAAGUGGAGCAAAUCACAAAAAAACGUCUCAGUUCAGAUUGCAGGCUGCAACUCGCCUGCAUGAAGUCGGAAUUGCUAGUAAUCGUAGGUCAGCAUACUACGGUGAAUACGUUCCCGGGCC
rnacentral:rRNA from 1 species